rnacentral:lncRNA from 1 species
ACGAAUAAUUUGUCUCCAUUACAAAAUUCCUAAUAGCAAAACAUAUUUAAAAUUUUAUAAUCAUCUGUCAAUGUCAAAACUCAUCAGUGUUUUUGACAAGUGAAAAAAAACCCACAACCAUUCAAAUAAUAUCCAUGUUUCUCCUUGAUUCUGUUACCAUUCUAUUGGCAUAUCAGAAUCCAUACUUUGAUUUCCAAGUGUAGUCUGUCAGGAAUUUCACAGGAAAGCAUUGCAAAAAAUGUAUGAAAUCACUGGGUUUUUAUUGGCUGUGAUUCCAUUUUAAAAGAACAUCAUACCAUUUACCCACAUCAUGCAGGAAAAAGUAGCAGGCAAAUAACAAAUGAGAUUCACAUUCACGAAGUCUCUACUUUAAAUCAUCUUCUAGUUGCUUGGAGAGUACUGCAUGCAUCUGAAAUAAAGCUGGGGAACAUUUCUACUAGAAAAUGCAUGGCUAAGUUGAAUUUUGCAGAGCAUGAAAAACAGCUGCUGCCUUUGUGACAGAAGGAGAAUUUCCAGUUAUUUGAAGUUCACUUAAGUAGGCUCAAAUUACUAGCUGCUGAAUUUGAAUGGCAUGAGUGGGACACUCUCCCUAGAAAAUGGUAGAUUACCCAACACUGCUAUGCUAAACCCAAGCAUAGAUUCAGAGACAAAGAGUGCUCUGGGUCAUUAAAGUCUUAGUGAGGAGACACUCAUCUUGCUUUAAAUGAAAGUUAGGGCAAAAAACACUGACAUUACCUGAAAGAGUAAAACCUGCCUUCUCUUUCCUCUGAGGAGCUGUCGGCUGCUUUUACUUAAAUGAACAUGUCUUGUUUGUAGAACCAGCCUGAAAUAAGUUGCAUUUUUAUCAGAUGAUUCUAACUUGUAGUUAAGUCAAACAUCCUCAGCCUCCACUUUGCAUUUUGUAGAAACUUAUGGUUGAAGUUAUUUGUGAAGAAGCGAGAACUAUCAUAGCUGAAUAAGAUUUAAGUGAGGAUUCAAAAAUAAAUAUAUUUCUUCUCUUUCA